rnacentral:rRNA from 1 species
UAGGGAAUAUUGGACAAUGGGGGCAACCCUGAUCCAGCCAUGCCGCGUGAGUGAAGAAGGCCCUCGGGUUGUAAAGCUCUUUUGUCCGGAAAGAAAAGCAUUCGGUGAAUACCCGGAUGUUCUGACGGUACCGGAAGAAUAAGCACCGGCUAACUCCGUGCCAGCAGCCGCGGUAAUACGGAGGGUGCGAGCGUUAUCCGGCUUUACUGGGUUUCAAGGGUGCGUAGGUGGGCUUAUAAGUCAGUGGUGAAAUCUCCGAGCUUAACUUGGAAACUGCCGUUGAUACUAUAGGUCUUGAAUUAUCUGGAGGUAAGCGGAAUAUGUCAUGUAGCGGUGAAAUGCUUAGAUAUGACAUAGAACACCAAUUGCGAAGGCAGCUUACUACAUAUAAAUUGACGCUGAGGCACGAAAGCGUGGGGAUCAAACA